GACAGAGGGGGCAAACGUUGUUCGGAAUUACUGGGCGUAAAGCGCGUGUAGGCGGCUUUGCAAGUCGGGCGUGAAAUCCCACGGCUCAACCGUGGAAGUGCACUCGAAACUGCAGAGCUAGAGUCCUGGAGAGGAAGGUGGAAUGCUUGGUGUAGAGGUGAAAUUCGUAGAUAUCAAGCGGAACACCGGUGGCGAAGGCGGCCUUCUGGACAGUGACUGACGCUGAGACGCGAAAGCGUGGGGAGCAAACAGG
rnacentral:rRNA from 1 species